GAUGAAGAACGUAGCGAAAUGCGAUAAGUAAUGUGAAUUGCAGAAUUCAGUGAAUCAUCGAAUCUUUGAACGCACAUUGCGCCCGCCAGUAUUCUGGCGGGCAUGCCUGUUCGAGCGUCAUUUCAACCAUCAAGCCCCCGGGCUUGUGUUGGGGACCUGCGGCUGCCGCAGGCCCUGAAAAGCAGUGGCGGGCUCGCUGUCACACCGAGCGUAGUAGAUUUUAUCUCGCUCUGGGCGUGCUGCGGGUUCCGGCCGUUAAACCACCCUUUUAACCCAAGGUUGACCUGGAUCAGGUAGGAAGACCCGCUGAACUUAAGCAUAUCAAUAAGCGGAGGA
rnacentral:misc_RNA from 1 species